CGUACGUUAGCGGCGGACGGGUGAGUAACACGUGGGUAACCUACCUAUAAGACUGGGAUAACUUCGGGAAACCGGAGCUAAUACCGGAUAAUAUUUCGAACCGCAUGGUUCGAUAGUGAAAGAUGGUUUUGCUAUCACUUAUAGAUGGACCUGCGCCGUAUUAGCUAGUUGGUAAGGUAACGGCUUACCAAGGCGACGAUACGUAGCCGACCUGAGAGGGUGAUCGGCCACACUGGAACUGAGACACGGUCCAGACUCCUACGGGAGGGCAGCAGCC
rnacentral:rRNA from 1 species